rnacentral:rRNA from 1 species
UACGGGGGGGGCAAGCGUUGUUCGGAAUUACUGGGCGUAAAGGGCUCGUAGGUGGCCAACUAAGUCAGACGUGAAAUCCCUCGGCUUAACCGGGGAACUGCGUCUGAUACUGGAUGGCUUGAGUUCGGGAGAGGGAUGCGGAAUUCCAGGUGUAGCGGUGAAAUGCGUAGAUAUCUGGAGGAACACCGGUGGCGAGGGCGGCAUCCUGGACCGACACUGACGCUGAGGAGCGAAAGCCAGGGGAGCAAACGGG